rnacentral:lncRNA from 1 species
GCCUUUUGACUAAAGGUACUUUAAAUUUUCUAUUAUUUUCUUAUAGCUAAAAUUAAAUUGUUUUAUAUAUUGCCUAAAAAUUGAUUGAUACUUUCAGUUUCUCCUGUAAAUUGUAAGCUUUUUAUGAGUUUAAUAUAGUUAUUUGGCUUUUAUGUUUUAGUGUUGUAGUUCUAAACAAUGUAAUAAGUUUUCAGAUUAUUCAAUGUAUUGCCACUGGAAGAGGGUAUUGCUUCUGGAAGUCUUGCUGUUGGAAUAUUUCCAUUAAUCUUUGGAAGUUUUGUUGGGGAGUUUGGCUUGGUGGCCGGAAUUUGAAUUACUUUUAUUGGAGUUUAAUGGGAAUUUAACUAUUAUUUUAUAUUUUGGCAUUCUUUUUUUUUUUAUUUGGGAUGUUUUAUUAUGUAUUAGUGGUAAUGACAUUGAAUACUAGAUGUAUUUAUUUUUAAAUUAAUUUGUUGGAUUGAAUGGAUGUUAAUUAGGUUGAAGGAUAAAUUUCUUUCCAUCUAGAUAGCUCAUGUUCUAAGGGUGAUUAUACUUUUUUGUGCCUAACGGUUCUUAUAGAUUAGUACAAGAUAAUGUCUUUAUUCCUCACAUGGAUUCACAUGUGUU